GGGUUGUGAGGUUAAGCGACUAAGCGUACACGGUGGAUGCCCUGGCAGUCAGAGGCGAUGAAGGACGUGCUAAUCUGCGAAAAGCGUCGGUAAGGUGAUAUGAACCGUUAUAGCCGGCGAUGUCCGAAUGGGGAAACCCAGUGCAAUUCGUUGCACUAUCGUUAACUGAAUACAUAGGUUAACGAGGCGAACCGGGGGAACUGAAACAUCUAAGUACCCCGAGGAAAAGAAAUCAACCGAGAUUCCCCCAGUAGCGGCGAGCGAACGGGGAGGAGCCCAGAG
rnacentral:rRNA from 1 species